rnacentral:lncRNA from 1 species
AGUAUGUAGAAUUCUCUAUUUUUUCUUGUUUUGUUCAAACACAAGUUACCAAAUAUAUAUAUAGUAUGUAGAUGUAUAUUGAAACCUUAUUUCAAAGGAAUGUGUGGUGGGGAGCCAGGGGAUGGGGGAGGGCAGAGUUGAGUGUUAGCAAAAUUAAAUAUCUGUUCAGGACAAGCUAGUGACUGUCACCGAUCAGAGAGAGAGAUUGGAAACAGGAGUUUUCUACACAAAGACCAGUACAAACAAGAGAGAGCGAGAGAGCAAGAAAUACAUCUCAUAAAUAGUUGAAAUUAAAUAUUAACCAAGAAUACUGAAAAAAACCCUACUCUUUAAUUAAAUUAACUGUUUUAAUUUCUAAUUAAAAAGGGAUAUUAAAUAAGUACCGUAUAUAAAACACUUCUCUUUUCUCUGCCUCCAGGGUGGGCACGGGGAUCCUGCCCUGUCUCUCUGCGCCG